UACCAGCACCCCGAGUGGUCGGGACGAUUAUUGGGCCUAAAGCAUCCGUAGCCGGUUCUACAAGUCUUCCGUUAAAUCCACCUGCUCAACAGAUGGGCUGCGGAGGAUACUAUAGAGCUAGGAGGCGGGAGAGGCAAGCGGUACUUAGUGGGUAGGGGUAAAAUCCGUUGAUCCAUUGAAGACCACCAGUGGCGAAGGCGGCUUGCCAGAACGCACUCGACGGUGAGGGAUGAAAGCUGGGGGAGCAAACCGGG
rnacentral:rRNA from 1 species